GCAUAGGUGGUUCAGUGGUAGAAUGCUCGCCUGCCACGCGGGCGGUUCGAUUCCCGGCCGAUGCA
rnacentral:tRNA from 1 species